UUAAUAUAUUAUUUUUAGUAAUAAAAUUGGAAUACCAAGAAGAUUAGCUUGGCCGCUGCGCUAGGGCGUGACAAAACUUAGCGAAGCGUUCUACAUUUUU
rnacentral:snRNA from 13 species